UUCCAAUCAUUAGACCCUGGUAUCAACCUCAGGGAAGAGCA
rnacentral:tRNA from 4 species